rnacentral:rRNA from 1 species
CUGCAGCCCGAGUGGUGAUCGAUUUUAUUGAGCCUAAAGCGUCCGUAGCCGGACCAGUAAACCCACGGGUAAAUUGGGCAGCUUAACUGUCCGAACUCCGAGGGGACUGCUAGUCUUGGGACCGGGAGAGGUCAGAGGUACUCAAGGGGUAGGGGCUAAAUCCUGUAAUCCUUUGGGGACCACCAGUGGCGAAGGCGUCUGACUAGAACGGAUCCGACGGUAAGGGACGAAACCCUGGGGCGCGAACCGGAUUAGAUACCCGUGUAGUCC